GCCGAUGUGGUGGAAUUUUGGCAGACACACCAGCUUGAGGGGCUGGCGGCCCGGAAGGGUCAUGUCGGUUCGAGUCCGACCAUCGGCACCA
rnacentral:tRNA from 1 species